rnacentral:rRNA from 1 species
CCAGACUCCUACGGGAGGCAGCAGUGGGGAAUAUUGCACAAUGGGGGAAACCCUGAUGCAGCGACGCCGCGCGAGCGAUGAAGUAUUUCGGUAUGUAAAGCUCUAUCAGCAGGGAAGAAAAUGACGGUACCUGACUAAGAAGCCCCGGCUAACUACGUGCCAGCAGCCGCGGUAAUACGUAGGGGGCAAGCGUUAUCCGGAUUUACUGGGUGUAAAGGGAGCGUAGACGGCGGCGCAAGCCAGAUGUGAAAGCCCGGGGCUCAACCCCGGGACUGCUCUUGGAACUGCGCGGCUGGAGUGCAGGAGGGGCAGGCGGAAUUCCUAGUGUAGCGGUGAAAUGCGUAGAUAUUAGGAGGAACACCAGUGGCGAAGGCGGCCUGCUGGACGAUGACUGACGUUGAGGCUCGAAAGCGUGGGGAGCAAACAGGAUUAGAUACCCGCGUA